AUGGCGCACGUUGGAGCUUCCCAUGGAGCGACGACCGCCCCGCUGCUCGCGUCGACGGAGAAGCCGCCGCGGAACAUGUACGCCUUCGGCUGCGCCACGCUGGCCUCCAUGACCACGAUCCUCAUGGGUUACAAUCUCGCGCUGAUGAGCGGCGCGCAGCUCUUCAUCCGGGAGGACCUGGGGCUCACCGACGAGCAGGUGGAGGUACUGGCAGGGUCCAUGAACGUGUACAUGCUCGUGUCCAUCCUCGCCGCCGGCUGGGCGGCCGACCUCCUCGGCCGCCGCGGCACGCUCGUGCUCGCCAACGGCUUCCUCAUGGCCGGCGCGCUCGCCAUGUCGCUCGGCGGCAGCUACGCGGCGCUCAUGGUCGCGCGCUUCAUCACCAGCAUCGGCGUUGGCUUCUCCCUCGUCGUCGCGCCGGUCUACAACGCCGAGAUCUCGCCGGCCUCCGCGCGUGGCGUGCUUUCCUCGUUACUCGAUAUAUUUGUCAACGUCGGCAUCCUGCUCAGCUACGUGUCCAACUAUGCCUUGGCUGGCCUGCCGGUGCACCUCAGUUGGCGCGUCAUGUACGCCAUCGGCGUGCUCCCGCCGGUGCUCCUCGCCGCCGGGGUGCUCGCCAUGCCGGAGUCCCCGCGGUGGCUCGCCAUGCGCGGGCGCGAGGCCGACGCGCGCGCAGUGCUCGUGGGCACCUCCGAUACCGCCGCCGAGGCCGAGCUCCGCUUCGAGGAGAUCAAGCGGGUCGUCGAGGCGCCGCGAGAAGCCGAUAGUGGCGUGUGGCGGGAGCUGAUCUUUCGGCCGUCGGCGAUGGUCCGGCGGAUCCUCGUCUUCGUGGUCGGGCUCAACUUCCUCCAGCAAGCGUUGGGCGUCGACGCCAUCUUGCUGUACAGCCCGCUCAUGUUCAAGAAGGCGGGCAUGUCGUCGAACAGCGCCAUCUUGGGCGCCACCGUGGCCAUCGGCGUCGUCAAGACGUGCUUCAUACUCGUGGUCUCGCUCUUCUCCGACCGCUUCGGCCGGCGCCCGCUACUGCUGGCCAGCGCCGGCGGCGUGGCCGCCUCGCUCACCGGCCUGGCUCUCACACUCUGCAUCGGCGAGACGUCGCCAGCGAGCACGGCUGCCUGCGUGGCGUUCACGCUGGCCACGGUCGCGGCUUUUUCGGUCGGGUGGGGGUCGCUCCCGUCCACGUACACGGCAGAGAUCACGCCGCUGCGGCUGCGUGCGCAGGGCUCGAGCCUCGGCAUGGCGGUGAACCGGCUGACUUGCGGGCUGGUAAGCAUGUCGUUCAUAUCGCUAGCGGGCUGGAUCACCAUGCCCGGGUGCUUCUUUCUGUAUGCCGCUAUGGCGGCCACGGCGUGCGUGUUCGUAUUCCUGCGGCUGCCAGAGACGAAGGGCCGGACCCUAGAGGAGAUGGACGUCCUCUUUUCCAAGUGA
rnacentral:rRNA from 1 species